GGGGGGAUAACAGAAGGCGAGAAGGACCCAGCUCUCCCCUGUGGUCUGUCGCAGUACAGAAAGGAAGAAGACCCGAGAAGAAUGCUCCAGGAUGUAAGGAUGGACGAGGAUGGGAGAGAAAGAGCGAGCAACAGCAAGAAAGAGCAAAGCGAAGACUGGACAUCUGGUCUUAGGAGUCUCCAAGGCGUGGAAGAACGCACCAUCAUCUUGGGUCUGCUGUCAGGUGCAAAAUGCUGUGGACUGCUCUGCUCUGGGAAUGAAAAGUGACUCACAGUUUUGAUGUCUCCUACGUAAGAGCUUUGGGGGGGAUUCCUUGGCUUGCUGACAGACAAGGAAGGACGCAGCAGCAGUGAGGGAUUACUGGAAAAGACGGUGGGAUGAUGACAGGAAGACAUCUUGGAUCAGAGCCAAAAAAA